GACGAACGCUGGCGGCGUGCUUAACACAUGCAAGUCGAACGGAAAGGCCCUGCUUUUGUGGGGUGCUCGAGUGGCGAACGGGUGAGUAACACGUGAGUAACCUGCCCUUGACUUUGGGAUAACUUCAGGAAACUGGGGCUAAUACCGGAUAGGAGCUCCUGCUGCAUGGUGGGGGUUGGAAAGUUUCGGCGGUUGGGGUUGGACUCGCGGCUUAUCAGCUUGUUGGUGGGGUAGUGGCUUACCAAGGCUUUGACGGGUAGCCGGCCUGAGAGGGUGACCGGCGACACUGGGACUGAGAUACGGCCCAGACGCCUACGGGAGGCAGCAGUGGGGAAUAGUGCACAAUGGGCGGAAGCCUGAUGCAGCAACGCCGCGUGCGGGAUGACGGCCUUCGGGUUGUAAACCGCUUUCGCCUGUGACGAAGCGUGAGUGACGGUAAUGGGUAAAGAAGCACCGGCUAACUACGUG
rnacentral:rRNA from 1 species